rnacentral:lncRNA from 1 species
AUGCUCAAGACCGCCCGCACUGCCCCGGGCAUCUUCUUGUUCAGCCACGUCCAAAAAGCACCGUGCCAGGGCGCGGGGGAGAGCCGGCAUCCCGCUUCGCCCAGCCAUCCUGGGAGGCACCGCUGCCUCCGGAGCCUCCCAGCGCGCGGGAACAUCCUCAUCGCUCCCGGGCCGCUUGGCGGGCACGGGAAGCCGCCGCUGGCCGCGGGCCCGGCAGCCCGGAGCGCGCUGGCGGCAGGACGCGCUCCUCCCCGCGCGUCUCCCCAGCGCGAACAAGGGCGCUUUGAGAGGCCCGGGGGCGGCGGGGGGGUUCCCGCAAGGGAGGCCACUAGCCCUUUAAGAGGGGAAAUUUACUUUGUAAUCCGAGCGGAUUCCGCGUUUGGGACAGGCGGGAGAAGUCGCAGGUCCCUCCCUCGCAGCACUUUAUUUAAUAUAGUAGUAGCGAAGCGGCGGGCUGGCAGCAGGCUCCGGCUGGGCUGCGCCUCCCUGGCCAGCCCUCGCGGGGACACCAUGGGCUCCCGAGAGCGUCCCGCCGCCCCGCUGCCGCUGCUGCCACUGCUGCCACUGCCGCUGCCACUGCUGCUGCUGCUGCUGCUGCUGGCGGGCCAGCCGAAGCCCCUCCGCGCGAGACCCCCAGCCGGAGGUAAGCCGAACCCGGGGCUCGUCGCCGCUGGGCGAGCAGCGAGGGCCGGGGCACGUCGCGGAGGAGAGCAUCCACGCGGGGCUGCAGCGGGCAGCGAGGGAAGGGGAACGGGGACGAAUCGCCCCCGAACCCGGCCAGGCGGGCGGACGGGCGCCCAGCCCCGGGCCGUUCCCACGCCCUGUCCAGCCGGAGCAGAGCUGCUCUCUGCUGCGGGGCUCUGGGGGCGAGCGGGCAGCUCAUGUGCCGUGCUUUCCCGGGAGUUACGUGCCGACCUGGAAGCAGGCAGAGGCGCUGGGCGGGAUGGGGCUCGCCGCCUCACGACCACAGCAGCCGCGGGGAUGCUCCGUUUGCAGCACACGGGACAAAAGCCCUUGAAAAGCAAACACCUUUGCGGCUCCGCAGGAAGCACCGCGCUGCGGGCACGGAGCACGGACACCUCCUCUGGCCCUCGUUUCGGAGAGCCGUGCCUGGGAGGCAGAGCCAGCCCUCCCCAGCCCGGUUUGGCCUUACAACGGUUUCGUCGGCCCCUUCGCCUCCAAGGCGCAGCGGCUUGA